ACAGUUUUACAACUUCAAUUACUGUUUAAAACUACUGACACCCAAAUCCUACCUGUCUGGCAGCUAUCAAGCACACACAUAUAAACACAUUUCACAACAGCGGCAUCAGCACACCCACAUUCUUAAUGUCAUACACUACCUUAUAAAUACAGACACAUCAGAUCAGACAGGCACUGCUGCAGACAUUACUACAACAGGAAAAGACUUUUUACUGCACUUGUCAACGAGACAAAAUGAGUGGCCGUGGCAAGGCGGUGAGUCAGUUUUUUCCCUUACUGCACUUUACACCUGUGACUAACAGCAUGAAAACAUGUGUACUAAAGAAGCCAUUUCCCUCCAGUGGGGAGGAGUAGAGAAGCUAUGAGGACCAUGUGGGUUAAGAUACCUUUAUUUUCCAAUGUUUGCUUUUGUUGCUUUAGUUUCUGAUCCUGUAACCUUGUUGCAUUCUGGUACAUUUUAUUUAAUUUGUGUCAGGAGGCUAAAACAGGUGCAGAGAACUGCAUCACAAAAUUUUUCUUACGAUUGCUUUUAGAAGGGGCGUGGAAAUGGAUCUCCUGGAAGGAAGGAUAAAUCUCCAGAUAAAUCUGGUGGACCUCCAGAUGAACGUCGUGGACCUCCAGGUGAACGUCGUGGACCUCCAGAUGAACGUCGUGGACCUCCAGGUGAACGUCGUGGAUCUCAGGACAGACAACCUGAUGAUGCUGGUGAACCUGAAUAGGAAUGGAAAUGUAGUGAUAACAUCUAAAUGAUGAACACUGUGUGAUAUUGAUUCUAAUCAAUUAAAUGAAUCUCCAAUAAAGUAAUCCAGAAACUGAUAA